rnacentral:lncRNA from 1 species
CACAGCCAGCCAGACGCACGUGAGAACCUCGGGCAAUGCGUGCCAGCUGCUGUGGUUGACGGGCCGGACACGCUGAGGGGACACGGUCAGAAUGCUUUUUCCUUCCCACUCUGGAGAAACUGCCUCUGUGCCAGUACAGGUUGGACUCCUCCAACUGUACCAGUGGGACCGGUUAAGCUGCAUCCACUGGCCCCUCGUUACUUCUCUCCAAAAUCUGGCUCCCCAAAGGGCAUAGGAAGAGUCAGUAUCUCUGAAGGAGAUCUACUAAAGCCAACACCAAAGAAAGAGACUUUGAGAGCCAGUAGGAUACGCUAAGCAGAAUGAUUUGAAUCUUAUGCCACUCCAUGGGCUGAGUGGAUUGAAGGAGGCUGCUGGGCUUCAUACCUCUAAAUUACUGCUUGAAGGUAAGUGCUCAUGUCAUGAACAUGUGUUCAAGAGCUGAGCAAGAGGCGUUGCUUUCCAGCAAAGGUCAACAGGAGGAGGGAAGUGACUCCACCUAGAAGUAAGAGAGUGCCUGAACUUUGACCUUUGCAUGUAAGGC